AGUGAAGUUGAUAGAGGGGUAACGCCUGAUCCCAUUGCGAACUCAGAAGCUAAGCCCGCUCAGGCCGAUGGUAGUCCUUACGGGCGAGAGUAGGUUAUUGUCAGGA
rnacentral:rRNA from 1 species